AUCUUUCUCAGGAACAAAAUCAUAAAGGUUUCUGAAAUUAGGUUUCAGGAUUUAUAUUAUAAGUCGGCUUUCAUCACUCAGCAAUUCCCUUAUUACUUAUUAAUAACACUUAUAGAUAUUUAACUAUUAAAGUUAUCCAGUUGCAGGGUGGGGGGUAUCAUCAGUGAGCCGUAGCUCACAGUUUCACUUCUUUAUAUUGUCAUAACAAUAUAUACUUUUAGGUCAUUUAUAGUGUUGUAACAAGGUCAUCCCAAUUUUCCUUUUCAAACUCACUUUAUAAAGUCAUUACAAUUGAACUUGAAACUAAAAAUUUAGAUAGGAAAGAAGCUUGAU
rnacentral:lncRNA from 1 species